rnacentral:tRNA from 1 species
GGGGGUGUAGUUUAAAAAGGUAAAAUUUAUGAUUUGCAUUCAUACGAUUAUUGGUUCAAAUCCAAUUAUCUCCA